GGGUCAGUAGGUUGGUCGUGCCGCCGGUACGUACUGGUCUCACUGAUUCCUCCUUCCUGAAGAACCGUAAUGCCAUUAAUUUGGUGUUGCGGGGAAACAGGACUGUUACUUUGAAAAAAUUAGGGUGUUUAAAGCAAGCUAACGCUUGAAUACAUUAGCAUGGAAUAAUGAAAUAGGACGAUAGAUCCUAUUUUGUUGGUUUCUAGGAUUGACGUAUUAAUUAAUAGGGAUAGUUGGG
rnacentral:rRNA from 1 species